AUAAGAUUUUGCAAAUGAAAAUGACAAGUAAGAUUCUUUGGAUGGGAAGAGACCUUGAAAGGACCUCUAGUUUAUCCUGCAACUUCAGUCAAUAUCCCACUUAAGUCAUUCCAGAUGCUAGCCUUGAUGAGAGUUUUGAGAAUGAAUAUAUUUGGAAUCAACGACAACCGUGACCUAAAAUGUCACCUGAAUCUAUUUUCAUUCAGAUAAUAAGAGUAACAUCUC